rfam:Ixeridium yellow mottle virus 2, complete genome.
UGGCCGUAGCCCGCGUUGUAGUUGCAAGACGGGAGCGUUAGUCUACUGAAUG